UGUUUGGCACCUCGAUGUCGGCUCAUCACAUCCUGGGGCUGAAGCCGGUCCCAAGGGUAUGGCUGUUCGCCAUUUAAAGUGGUACGCGAGCUGGGUUUAGAACGUCGUGAGACAGUUCGGUCCCUAUCUGCCGUGGACGUUUGAGAUUUGAGAGGGGCUGCUCCUAGUACGAGAGGACCGGAGUGGACGAACCUCUGGUGUUCCGGUUGUCACGCCAGUGGCAUUGCCGGGUAGCUAUGUUCGGAAAAGAUAACCGCUGAAAGCAUCUAAGCGGGAAACUUGCCUCAAGAUGAGAUCUCACUGGGAACUUGAUUCCCCUGAAGGGCCGUCGAAGACUACGACGUUGAUAGGCUGGGUGUGUAAGCGUUGUGAGGCGUUGAGCUAACCAGUACUAAUUGCCCGUGAGGCUUGACCAU
rnacentral:rRNA from 1 species